GCCCGGUUAGCUCAGUCGGUAGAGCACCAUACUAGUGUUGAGGGAGUCGUGGGUUCGAGCCCCACGUCGGGCG